rnacentral:rRNA from 1 species
CCUACGGGAGGCAGCAGUGAGGAAUAUUGGUCAAUGGACGAGAGUCUGAACCAGCCAAGUAGCGUGAAGGAUGACUGCCCUAUGGGUUGUAAACUUCUUUUAUAAAGGAAUAAAACGAGGCACGUGUGCCUUUUUGCAUGUACUUUAUGAAUAAGGAUCGGCUAACUCCGUGCCAGCAGCCGCGGUAAUACGGAGGAUCCGAGCGUUAUCCGGAUUUUUUGGGUUUAAAGGGGGCGUAGAUGGUUUGUUAAGUCAGUUGUGAAAGUUUGCGGCUCAACCGUAAAAUUGCAAUUGAUACUGGCAGUCUUGAGUACAGGUGAGGUAGGCGGAAUUCGUGGUGUAGCGGUGAAAUGCUUAAAUAUCACGAAGAACUCCGAUUGCGAAGGCAGCUUACUAAACUGCCACUGACAUUGAUGCUCGAAAGUGUGGGUAUCAAACAGGAUUAGAUACCCUAGUAGUC